GUGGAUUAGAUACCCUAGUAGUCCACGCCGUAAACGAUGUCGACUUGGAGGUUGUUCCCUUGAGGAGUGGCUUCCGGAGCUAACGCGUUAAGUCGACCGCCUGGGGAGUACGGCCGCAAGGUUAAAACUCAAAUGAAUUGACGGGGGCCCGCACAAGCGGUGGAGCAUGUGGUUUAAUUCGAUGCAACGCGAAGAACCUUACCUACUCUUGACAUCCACGGAAUUCGGCAGAGAUGCCUUAGUGCCUUCGGGAACCGUGAGACAGGUGCUGCACGGUCGUCGUCAACU
rnacentral:rRNA from 1 species